rnacentral:rRNA from 1 species
AACGAACGCUGGCGGCAUGCCUAACACAUGCAAGUCGAACGAGACCUUCGGGUCUAGUGGCGCACGGGUGCGUAACACGUGGGAAUUUGCCUCGGGGUAUGGAAUAACUCAGGGAAACUUGAGCUAAUACCAUAUAAUGUCUUCGGACCAAAGAUUUAUCGCCCUGAGAUAAGCCCGCGUAGGAUUAGCUAGUUGGUGGGGUAAAGGCUCACCAAGGCGACGAUCCUUAGCUGGUCUGAGAGGAUGAUCAGCCACACUGGGACUGAGACACGGCCCAGACUCCUACGGGAGGCAGCAGUGGGGAAUAUUGGACAAUGGGCGAAAGACCUGAUCCAGCAAUGCCGCGUGAGUGAUGAAGGCCUCGGUUGUAAGUACUCUUUACUUCGGUACGGACUAA